GACGAACGCUGGCGGCGUGCCUAAUACAUGCAAGUUGAGCGCUGAAGGUUGGUACUUGUACCGACUGGAUGAGCAGCGAACGGGUGAGUAACGCGUGGGGAAUCUGCCUUUGAGCGGGGGACAACAUUUGGAAACGAAUGCUAAUACCGCAUAAAAACUUUAAACACAAGUUUUAAGUUUGAAAGAUGCAAUUGCAUCACUCAAAGAUGAUCCCGCGUUGUAUUAGCUAGUUGGUGAGGUAAGGGCUCACCAAGGCGAUGAUACAUAGCCGACCUGAGAGGGUGAUCGGCCACAUUGGGACUGAGACACGGCCCAAACUCCUACGGGAGGCAGCAGUAGGGAAUCUUCGGCAAUGGACGAAAGUCUGACCGAGCAACGCCGCGUGAGUGAAGAAGGUUGUCGGAUCGUAAAACUCUGUUGGUAGAGAAGAACGUUGGUGAGAGUGGAAAGCUCAUCAAGUGACGGUAACUACCCAGAAAGGGACGGCUAACUACGUG
rnacentral:rRNA from 1 species